rnacentral:lncRNA from 1 species
CUGAGGAACUGAAGUUGCUAAUCAUGUCCUGGAGGUGGGGAGAGAGGGCCCUGUGCAGAUCCUGGGCCGGAGAUAAUUUGGGAGGAGGCUGCCGGCCCCAGCUCUCCAGGCAGUGUGGGACCGCGGGGAGGAGCGGGGAUGUGCGUGAGGCCGUCCCUCCUGCCUCGUUCACAGGCACAGAGUAGAUGGCCGGUGUCAAGAAGCUGCCGCGCGGUCCCCGGCCGAGGAGAAUCAAACACAUACAGCAGCGUCAGGCUCCGGGAGACCUUGUGAACUCAGUGAUUUCAAGUCCCGUUUCAGACCGUG